AGAGUUUGAUCCUGGCUCAGAGCGAACGCUGGCGGCGUGCUUAACACAUGCAAGUCGAGUGCGCGUUUCCGUAGCAAUACGGAGAUGGCGCACGGCGCACGGGUGCGUAACACGUGGGUAAUCUGCCCUCUGAUGGGGAAUAACCCGCCGAAAGGCGGGCUAAUACCGCAUAACAUUCCUUGGACUCCGGUCCGAGGAUUCAAAGGCGUAAGUCGUCGGAGGUGGAGCCCGCGCACGAUUAGCUAGUUGGUAGGGUAAUGGCCUACCAAGGCUAUGAUCGUUAGCUGGUCUGAGAGGAUGGCCAGCCACACUGGAACUGAGACACGGUCCAGACUCCUACGGGAGGCAGCAGUGGGGAAUCUUGCACAAUGGGCGAAAGCCUGAUGCAGCGACGCCGCGUGGGGGAUGAAGCUUCUCGGAGUGUAAACCCCUUUCGACCGGGACGAAUACCUCGCAAGAGGGGUGACGGUACCGGUAUAAGAAGCCCCGGCUAACUACGUGCCAGCAGCCGCGGUAAGACGUAGGGGGCCAGCGUUGCUCGGAAUUACUGGGUGUNAAAGGGUUCGU
rnacentral:rRNA from 1 species